UUCGAGGGGCGCUGCAGCAGGAUUCUCCUGUCAGGCUCGAAACAGUUGCCUUCCAGUUGUCUCGACAACUGCAUAUUUGCAAACGGCGCCCAUUCG
rnacentral:ncRNA from 1 species